rnacentral:lncRNA from 1 species
UUUGAAAACAAUUGAGUCUGAUUUCAAAUCCUUAAUCCAUCAUUUACCAGCUGUGUGACCUUGGCCUCAGCCUCCUGAGUAGCUGGGAUUACAGGCAUGCACCACCAUGCCCUGCUAAUGUUUGUAUUUUUAGUAGAGGAGGGGUUUCACCAUGUUGGCCGGGCUAGUCUCGAGCUCCUGACCUCAGGUGAUCUGCCUGCCUUGGCCUCCCACAGUGCUGGGAUUACAGGCAUGAGCCACUGCCUGUUUUUCUACUAAAGCAUCAGUAUUAUGGUUUUUUGUUUUGUUUUGAGUGAUUCUUUUUUCUUUAUUAUUUUUAGUUCUGGGGUACAUGUAUAGGAUGUGCAGGUUUGUUACAUAGGCAAACGUGCAAUCAUGGUUUACUGCACCUAUCAACCCAUUACAUAGGUAUUAAGCCCAGUAGGCUGGUUUUUGAGGAUGGUGAAUGUGAACAAGACCUCCCUCACGCAGGCUUUACAACGACAAUGAAGAAGAAUGUGUUUUGUCUUUUGGCGCCUUUACCUGGUUUAACGUCAUGAUAGGUGGAGAGAAGAUUGGUGGAAAGAGUAGGGAUGCUACCUUCCUGCCUCAAGCCGAGUGAGGAGUGCUUUGGGAGACUUUCCUAGACCUUGCCAUGUCUUCCCUGUAGCCUUGACCAUCAGCCAGGGCCAGAGGGUGUGGUCAUUACUAAGCAAAAACUGUCCUAUUUCCAUACUUCCACCUCUGCUCCCGUGUUCUCCUCCUAGCCAGGCAGAUCCUAAAUAGCAGCCCCAGUCAGAGGACAAUGAACAGUGAGAGUAGGGAGCAGAAAGACGGACCUCCUCUUCCCCCCUGCCCAUUCACCAAAGCAGGUCUGAGCUUGGAGGUGGGAAGGCUUAAAGCUAAGUCAAGUUAAGAGUU